UACGGGGGAGCAAGCGUUGUUCGGAUUUACUGGGCGUAAGGGCGCGUAGGCGGCCACUGCGAAGUCGGUUGUGAAAUCUCCGGCUAACCCGGAAGGUCAUCGAUACUGCAGGGCUAGAGUGCGGAAGGGGCAACUGGAAUUCUCGGUGUAGCGGUGAAAUGCGUAGAUAUCGAGAGGAACACCUGCGGCGAAGGCGGGUGCUGGGCCGACACUGACGCUGACAGCGCGAAAGCUAGGGGAGCGAACGGG
rnacentral:rRNA from 1 species